rnacentral:rRNA from 1 species
GAUGAACGCUGGCGGCGUGCCUAAUACAUGCAAGUCGAGCGAACAGACGAGAGUGCUUGCCCUCUCUGACGUUAGCGGCGGACGGGUGAGUAACACGUGGGUAACCUACCUAUAAGACUGGGAUAACUUCGGGAAACCGGAGCUAAUACCGGAUAAUAUUUAGCUUCGCAUGAAGCAAUAGUGAAAGACGGUUCUGCUGUCACUUAUAGAUGGACCCGCGGUGUAUUAGCUAGUUGGUGAGGUAACGGCUCACCAAGGCAACGAUACAUAGCCGACCUGAGAGGGUGAUCGGCCACACUGGAACUGAGACACGGCCCAGACUCCUACGGGAGGCAGCAGUAGGGAAUCUUCCGCAAUGGGCGAAAGUCUGACGGAGCAAUGCCGCGUGAGUGAAGAAGGUUUUCGGAUCGUAAAGCUCUGUUGUAAGGGAAGAACAAGUACGUUAGUAACUGAACGUACCUUGACGGUACCUAACCAGAAAGCCACGGCUAACUACGUG